rnacentral:rRNA from 1 species
CGCUAGCGGCAGGCUUAACACAUGCAAGUCGAGGGGUAACAGGGAUUGCUUGCAAUCCGCUGACGACCGGCGCACGGGUGCGUAACGCGUAUGCAACCUACCUUCUACAGGGGGAUAGUCAAUAGAAAUGUUGAAUAAUACCCCAUACGAUCAUUUAUCUGCAUAGAUUAAUGAAGAAAGCUCCGGCGGUAGAAGAUGGGCAUGCGUCCUAUUAGUUAGUUGGUAAGGUAACGGCUUACCAAGACAUCGAUAGGUAGGGGUCCUGAGAGGGAGAUCCCCCACACUGGUACUGAGACACGGACCAGACUCCUACGGGAGGCAGCAGUGAGGAAUAUUGGACAAUGGAGGCAACUCUGAUCCAGCCAUGCCGCGUGCAGGAAGACGGCCCUAUGGGUUGUAAACUGCUUUUAUACAGGAAGAAUUGUACCUACGUGUAGGUAUUUGACGGUACUGUACGAAUAAGGAUCGGCUAACUCCGUGCCAGCAGCCGCGGUAAUACGGAGGAUCCAAGCGUUAUCCGGAAUCAUUGGGUUUAAAGGGUCCGUAGGCGGUCUUUUAAGUCAGAGGUGAAAUCCUGCAGCUCAACUGUAGCAUUGCCUUUGAUACUGAGAGACUUGAGUUAUUGUGAAGUAGUUAGAAUGUGUAGUGUAGCGGUGAAAUGCAUAGAUAUUACACAGAAUACCGAUUGCGAAGGCAGAUUACUAACAAUAUACUGACGCUGAGGGACGAAAGCGUGGGUAGCGAACAGGAUUAGAUACCCUGGUAGUCCACGCCGUAAACGAUGGAUACUAGCUGUUCGACCAACAUUGG